rnacentral:rRNA from 1 species
CCCGCUGAACUUAAGCAUAUUAUUAGGCGGAGGAAAAGAAAUUAACUAAGAUUCCCUCAGUAACUGCGAGUGAACCGGGAGGGAGCCCAGCCCUGAAUCGGGGGGGAUUCGUCUUCUACCGACGUGUGGGGUUCGUUGGGGUUGGUCAGGCACUUAAGUGAUACCGAAGUCAUCCUGGAAAGGUGUGCCAUAGAGGGUGAUAGUCCCGUAGGUGUUGCUUGAGGGUCAGACUGAUUUCGACUAGAGUCGAGCUGUUUGGGAGUACAGCUCUAACGGGUGAUAAAUUUCAUCCAAGGCUAAAUAUUAACACGAGACCGAUAGCGAACAAGUACCGCGAGGGAAAGAUGCAAAGAACUCUGAAAAGAGAGUUAAAAGUACAUGAAACCGUCGUGAGGUAAAGCGGUGGCCAGGGUACUUUCCUCUGGUUGAGGGAUCAACUUACGGGAGUUUCAGGGCGUUCGUUCAUGGGUGUUCGUAAGGGCAUCUUGGGCGGGCGUUUUUGGGAUUUCUGUGAGGGUAUUCCCUUGAUUGGAGGGUCACUGUCUGUUCUGUUCGAUUUUGAAGGCUUGGUAGUUGUCCUCGGACGAUGAAGGGCUUUAGAGAUUGGACGGGACAGAGGUUUCCUCAUUCUGGGGAGAUUGGGUAGCGCUUAGCUCUUAAGGAUGCUACCCCCGACAGUGAUUUUCACGGUACCAUGGUUACUGACCCGUCUUGAAACACGG